rnacentral:sRNA from 1 species
GAAAUACUCUAUGUAUCCUAGAAGCUUAUAUAUAUAUAUAUAUAAGCUUCUAGGAUACAUAGAGUAUUUC